rnacentral:rRNA from 1 species
UACGUAGGCAGCAAGCGUUGUUCGGAGUUACUGGGCGUAAAGGGUGCGUAGGUGGCUCUAUAAGUAUGGUGUGAAAUCUCCCGGCUUAACUGGGAGGGUGCGCCGUAGACUGUGGGGCUAGAGUGUGGGAGAGGAAAGUGGAAUUCCUGGUGUAGCGGUGAAAUGCGUAGAUAUCAGGAGGAACACCGGUGGUGUAGACGGCUUUCUGGACCGUAACUGACG